rnacentral:rRNA from 1 species
UACGUAGGGUGCAAGCGUUGUCCGGAAUUAUUGGGCGUAAAGAGCUCGUAGGCGGCUUGUCGCGUCGACUGUGAAAGCCCACGGCUUAACUGUGGGCUUGCAGUCGAUACGGGCAGGCUAGAGUUCGGUAGGGGAGACUGGAAUUCCUGGUGUAGCGGUGAAAUGCGCAGAUAUCAGGAGGAACACCGGUGGCGAAGGCGGGUCUCUGGGCCGAUACUGACGCUGAGGAGCGAAAGCGUGGGGAGCGAACAGG